AUUUAUUAUGUAUCAUAAUAAAUGUGCAAAUAUUAGUAACAAAAACCAAUUCUCUUUUGAGAUUAUUUUGUUGAACUCUGGAUAAUUAAUUACCUAUAAUUUCGUAAGAAAGUAGGAAAAACGUGUAUGCAUCUGCCCUAUCAUACUUGAUGAAAAUGUAUAGUAUUUUCAUGGUUGUAACGGGUAACGGAGAAUUAGGGUUCGACUCCGGAGAGAAUGCCUUAGAAACAGCUUUCACAUCCAAGGACGGCAGCAGGCGCGAAAAUUACCCAAUCUCAGUAUGAGGAGGUAGUGACGUGAAAUGACAAGUAAAAUUUCGUAAAAGAAAUUUUACAUUGGAAUGGUUGAAAUAUAAAUUAUUCCAAGAAUCAAGGAGAGGGCAAGGGGUGGUNACACAUAUGAUAUCAUGUANGUUAUACGUAAUCCAAGCUAGAGAUAUCUUUUUCUAGUUUAAUAUAAUUUGACCAUGGAAUUUUUUCAUAAAGAGAUAUGGUUAAAAUUAUUGUAAAGUAUAUCUUUAUUGGAUAUAUNUUGGUUNUUACAUANAACCCAUGAAAACANGAUUGAUCCUAUUAUGUAUAGCAUAACCGUACCUAAACCGCAUCAGGUUUUCAAUGUUUAUAGCCUCUAGUCAAUAGAUAAAUGUAGGUAAGGGAAGUNGGCAAAUUAGAUCCGUAACUUUGGGAAAAGAAUUGGNUCCAAAAAUGUAGUNUUGUGAGAAUUUGAAACAUGUAUAAAUUUAUAAAUUUUUUAAUUUUUAUUUUAAAAAUAUAUAUAUAAAUGUAUAUAUAUUGUGAAAGAUUAUAUCAAACAUGAUAUAUAUAUAUAUAUAUGUAUAUAUUUGAAAUAAAAAAAAAAGAAUAAUAAAUUUAUAUAUUUUGUUUUAAAAUUUUGUUUUUUUAAUUAAAAACCUCCUUUACAUAUAAACAUUAAUUUGGAACUGACACGGACACGGGGAAUCCGACUGUCUAAUUAAAACAGAGCUUGUAGAUGGUGUUUACACAUGUUAACUACAAGUGAUUUCUGCCCAGUGCUCUGAAUGUUAAAAUAAGGAAACUUGACUAAGCGCGGGUAAACGGCGGGAGUAACUAUGACUCUCUUAAGGUAGCCAAAUGCCUCGUCAUCUAAUUAGUGACGCGCACGAAUGGAUUAACGAGAUUCCCACUGUCCCUAUCUACUAUCUAGCGAAAUUACAGCCAAGGGAACGGGCUUGGAAUGAUCAGCGGGGAAAGAAGACCCUAUUGAGUUUGACUCUAGUCUAUAUUUGUAAAGAAAUAUAAAAAGUGUAGUAAUAACGGGGAGUCGUAAGACAAUAAUGAAAUACCCGUAUUUUUAUUAUUUCUUUACUUAUAUAAUAAAAUAUAAUUAUGAUAUAUCAUCAUAAUUUAUGUAAAAAAAUAUAUUUUUUAAUAAAUAUAUUGAUAUAUGUUAUAGACAUAUAUAGAUGGGGAGUUUGACUGGGGCGGUAUAACUGUCAAAUAGUAACGCAGUUGUCCUAAAGUUUACUCAAUGAGGACAGAAACCUCAUGUAGAGAAUAAAGUCAAAAGUAAGCUUGAUCUUGACUCUCAGUAAGAGUAUAGACCAAAAAAUUGUGGCUUAACGAUCCUUUNGGAUAAAAAGUUUUUAUUAAGAGGUGUCAGAAAAAUUACCAUAGGGAUAACUGGC
rnacentral:rRNA from 1 species